AUUGAACGCUGGCGGCAGGCCUAACACAUGCAAGUCGAACGAGUGGCGCACGGGUGAGGUAUGUCUGUGAAACUGCCUGAUGGAGGGGGUUAACUACUGGAAACGGUACCUAAUACCGAAUACCAUCAGUUGUGCCCAGAGGGGGUUAGCUUGUGGGUGGGGUAACGGGUCACUAGGGCGACGAUCCCUAGCUGCUCUGAUAGGAUGAACAGCGACACUGGAACUGAUGCAAGGUCAAGACUCCUACGGGAGGCAGCAGUGGGGAAUAUUGCACAAGGGGCGCAAGCCGGAGGAGGCCAUGGCGGGUGUAUGAAGAGGGCCUUGGGGUUGUAAAGUACUUUCAGCGGGGAGGCGUUACCCGCAGAAGAAGCACCGGCUAACUCCGUGCCAGCCGCCGCGGUAAUUC
rnacentral:rRNA from 1 species